CAGAUAUUAGUUUAUGUUUAAAAUAUUAAUUUUGGAGAUUAAAGAGAAUUUUUAAUUAUAUCUGA
rnacentral:tRNA from 1 species